GUACGAUAUGUUCGAAGAUAUUGCAAAAAUCAAAAUUUUCAAAUAUGUUUUUUUUCGGAUAACUUGUAAAGUACUUCAUGGAUUCAUUCCAAAAUAUAUCCAGCUCUAAAAUUUACAAGGUACGUCGAGUGCCACCUCAACCAUCAAAAUCGGUUAAUUUAUUUCAAAAUAAACCGUUAUCGAAAGAAUUGCGAAAAAUUGUUUCUAAUUAAAUUCAAAUUGUUUAACUAAUCAAUUAAAGUUGUUUUUGAACGUUAAUGAUUAAGAAACUGGAUUGAAUGCCACCUUGAACGUCAAAAUCGGUUCAUUAUUAUAACCGGGCAGCGUUGGUAUACGACAUGAGAGUGCGGCUCUCUCGCUGUCUCUGUCUGAAUUUGGUCUUUCUCUGUCUCUCAUAUUACAGCCUGAUUGCUAAGUUUGGCUGGGUUAAGCGCUAGACCACAGGGGAUGAUUUCGCGCAGCAGGUGACCGUAAGUCGGUCAUGUGCGCAUAAUUAGGUAGGGGUCAUCGGAGGUUGGGACCUGAGACGUCUCGAUCAGGAUCGACAUUCAAGUCCAAGCUAUCGACUCGACAUUUAAGUGCAGGCAAUCGAUUCAAGUGCAGGCGAUCGAUUCAAACGACACUCAAGUCAAAGUGCUGAUACAUACAGCCUCGUUACUCGUUGCUCGAUUGUGAAAACUGUAAAAAUUCUAAAUUAUUUUGCUCUCUCUAUAAACUGGUUUAUAAAACCAAAUUUUGUUAAGUUGAUUAUCUAAGUGAUUUGUGUGAGAGUAUCCAGCACCAAGUCCAACAUCAACAGCCAGGAUCCGGAAGAGAAGGUCCAACAUGCAGCGGCGUCCAAUACCAUCAAUAUAUAAGAUGCUAUGAACGUCGAGCUCACGGUUGUCCUGCUCGGGGAAAAAUAACAAAUGAUGAACUUGAUUUAUCGAUCGUUCAUAACCAUGUAAGAAAUCCUCAGUUGCAGAAAUAUUGCAUCUUUCAAGAUGCAUUGUUUAUUGCGGCAACGGCACGCCCUUAUAGAUCCCUGAAAGUUAUAUUUGACCAUUUGAGUGUGCAAAAUCAUGAAGCAGCGUCACAAUUCACAUGGCGGAAAAUGCAGCCGCUUAUGGAAAGUUGGCGCCGCAGUGACCGACCACCUCGUCCACCGAUUCCAAGCAAUCUACAACAGUUUGCCGAUUUUUUAAACAUGCCACAGUGGGCCUAUAAUUAACUUUACUAUGAAUAAUUUUUAGUUUUAAAUAAUUCACCAGAAAUAAUAAAUAUAAUCAUAAAUUUUAACGAUUUGAGAAAAAUCUCUGCUCCAAUUUUUUAAAUGUACAUCAAUAAUAAAUUAUGAAGCAGAAAAAUUAAUUAUUUAAUUAAUAAAAUUUUACUGAAGUAAUCAUUACAGAAAAAAAAAUUAAUCAGUUGAUAAUAAAAUAAUUGCACAUUAAAUUUUUGUCAAUAAACAAUUAAAUUAUUGCACUUCAGUUUAAUGGUACGGUGUUACAAAUUUUUUUUAAUUAGUUGGAUUUAUUUUUUAAUUAAUGAACACGGGGUAAUCGAUAUUCACAAUCGAUAUAA